CGCUUUCGCACCUCAGUGUCAGUAUCAGUCCAGGUGGUCGCCUUCGCCACUGGUGUUCCUUCCUAUAUCUACGCAUUUCACCGCUACACAGGAAAUUCCACCACCCUCUACCAUACUCUAGCUUGUCAGUUUUGAAUGCAGUUCCCAGGUUGAGCCCGGGGCUUUCACAUCCAACUUAACAAACCACCUACGCGCGCUUUACGCCCAGUAAUUCCGAUUAACGCUUGCACCCUCUGUAUUACCGCGGCUGCUGGCACAGAGUUAGCCGGUGCUUAUUCUGUCGGUAACGUCAAAAUUGCAGAGUAUUAAUCUACAACCCUUCCUCCCAACUUAAAGUGCUUUACAAUCCGAAGACCUUCUUCACACACGCGGCAUGGCUGGAUCAGGCUUUCGCCCAUUGUCCAAUAUUCCCCACUGCUGCCUCCCGUAGGAGUCUGGACCGUGUCUCAGUUCCAGUGUGACUGAUCAUCCUCUCAGACCAGUUACGGAUCGUCGCCUUGGUGAGCCAUUACCUCACCAACUAGCUAAUCCGACCUAGGCUCAUCUGAUAGCGCAAGGCCCGAAGGUCCCCUGCUUUCUCCCGUAGGACGUAUGCGGUAUUAGCGUUCCUUUCGAAACGUUGUCCCCCACUACCAGGCAGAUUCCUAGGCAUUACUCACCCGUCCGCCGCUGAAUUCAGGAGCAAGCUCCUGUCAUCCGCUCGACUUGCAUGUGUUAGGCCUGCCGCCAGCGUUCAAU
rnacentral:rRNA from 1 species